rnacentral:tRNA from 1 species
UUAAUUGAAACCAAAAAGAGGUAUAUUACUGUUAAUAAUAUCAUUGAAUCAAUUCCAAUUAAA